rnacentral:rRNA from 1 species
AUGACGUCAAGUCCUCAUGGCCCUUAUAGUGGGGCUACACACGUCGUACAAUGGAUGGUACAAAGGGUCGCCAACCCGCGAGGGGGAGCCAAUCCCAUAAAGCCAUUCGUAGUCCGGAUCGCAGUCUGCAACUCGACUGCGUGAAGUCGGAAUCGCUAGUAAUCGUGGAUCAGAAUGUCACGGCGAAUACGUUCCCGGGUCCUU